AUGAACGCUGGCGGCGUGCUUAACACAUGCAAGUCGAACGGUGAACACGGAGCUUGCUCUGUGGGAUCAGUGGCGAACGGGUGAGUAACACGUGAGCAACCUGCCCCUGACUCUGGGAUAAGCGCUGGAAACGGCGUCUAAUACUGGAUAUGUGACGUGACCGCAUGGUCUGCGUCUGGAAAGAAUUUCGGUUGGGGAUGGGCUCGCGGCCUAUCAGCUUGUUGGUGAGGUAAUGGCUCACCAAGGCGUCGACGGGUAGCCG
rnacentral:rRNA from 2 species